GGGGAAAAAUUAAUAAAGGGGGAAAUAAUAAAAGAAAUUUUAAUGUUAAAAUAUUGGGGGUUUAAGUAUUUUAAUAGAAAAAAAUUUUUUGGUUUAUAGUUAAUUUGUAUUGUAAAAGAUUUUUGAAAUAAUGAUGAAAAUAAAUUUAUGGGAAAGUAAUUUUUAUUUGAUGUAUCUUGUGUAUCAGAGUUUAUUAAUAAUUUUAUAUAGGUUUAAAUUUCUCAAAUUUAAAAGAGAUAAUUAAUUAUAAAAGUUAUUGUUGUAUAAAUAUUUUUAAUAAUUAAUUUGAAAUGAAAUGUUAAUCGUUUUUAAAGAUAUUUAGUUUUUUUAGAAAAAAAUUUAAUUUUUAAUAUAAAAAAAAAAUUAUUAAUUAAUUAAUAAUUUUUUUUUUAUAUUUAAUAUUUUAAGGGAUAAGCUUUAAAUUAAAUUUUUAUAAUAAAAAUUAAUAUUUAUUAAAAAUUUUAUAAUUUAUAUUGUUAAUAAAUUAUAUUUUAUUAUAAAUAAUUUUAUUAAAAUUUAAAAUUUAAUUAAAAUUUAAUUUUUUAUAAAAAAAUAAAUUAUAAUUUAAAAAAUUUAGAUAUAAUGAUAAAAUUAGUAUAUAAAUAAAAUAAAUAAUUAAAAUUUAUUUGAAAAUAAUUAAAAGGAAUUCGGCAAAAAUUAUAUUCACUUGUUUAUCAAAAACAUGUCUUUUUGUAAAAAAUAUAAAGUCUAAUCUGCCCACUGAUAUAUAUUAAAGGGCUGCAGUAUAUUGACUGUACAAAGGUAGCAUAAUCAUUAGUCUCUUAAUUGGUGACUUGAAUGAAGGAUUGGAUGAAAUAUAAACUGUCUCUUAAUUAAAUAUAGAAAUUAAUUUUUUAAUUAAAAAGUUAAAAUAAUUUAAAAAGACGAGAAGACCCUAUAGAGUUUAAUAAUUAAAUUUCUUAGAUUUAUUUAUAAAAUUAUAAAAUUGUAAUAAUUUUUAUUAUUUUGUUGGGGGGAUAAAAAAAUAUAAUUAACUUUUUUUAAAAAUUAACAUUGAUAAGUGAUUUUUUGAUCCAAUAAUAUUGAUUAAAAGAAAAAAUUACCUUAGGGAUAACAGCGUAAUUUUUUUUUUUAGUUCUUAUAAGAAAAAAAGUUUGCGACCUCGAUGUUGGAUUAAGAUAAAAUUUGGAUGCAAAAGUUCAAAAUUUUGAUCUGUUCGAUCAUUAAAAUCUUACAUGAUCUGAGUUCAAACCGGUGUGAGCCAGGUUGGUUUCUAUCUUUUAAAAAUUAAAAUAUUUUAGUACGAAAGGAUCAAAUAUUUAAAUUAAAUUUAAUUUUAAUUAAAUGAAUUUUAUUAAUAUGAAAAUAAAUUUGAUAUAAAAUAAUUUAUAACUAUUUUGGCAGAGAAAAUGUAAU
rnacentral:rRNA from 1 species